UUGCCCUGUUGGAUCCCUUCGUUCAGUUCAUCAGGUGGUAAGUGGCUAAGCAUGGUUUUUCUUAUGUGAGGCUCAUGUUGGUUUUGGCCACUGCAGGAUACAGGACCAAUGCAUUUGCUUCCAAAUUCAUGCCUCAAGGAUAGCCAUUACAAUGGGAUAGCAAGUCCUGUAAAUCCAAUGUGUUGGUAGCUUCAUUUGGAUUGUUGUAGCCUGAAGUGGUGCUGCACAGGGCCAAGACUUUGAUGGAUUGCAAGGCAUGGGUUCAGUUUAUGGGUAUGCAGUAGGAUGUUGGCUUGUCUACAGGUAUUGGUUGUGAUUGAGUUUCAAGGUAAUCACCUUGGUUCAGCUUGGCCUGCUACAAGGUAUGUCUUGAUCAGUUGUGUGGUGAAAUCUCCAUGACCUUGCACUUGUUUGUUUCAUCUUGGGGCAGUACAACACAAAGAGUGGAAUUACAAAUCGUGAUUAAAUCCAUGUUGAUGUGCACCUCAUGGCGUGGACCGAUAGGAUAUGUGCUUGCACUUGGCCUGCAUCAUUUAUUCACUGAUUUGUUCUUGCUUCUGGUUUUAAGCUUGUGCAGGUUUGGCAUUGCAGCAGGGUAUAGCAGGGCAAAUGGCUUUGAGUUAGAAAUAUGUUAUGUGUACUGCAGGUUUCAUUGAUCCAUUAUUAUGCUGCUUUGAUUCUUCUUGAACAGGGUGCAGUAUUAGGCUACUUGGACUUGGCAUGAUAUUGUUUGAGUCUUCUUGCCUUGCUGUUAAACUGUCUAAUCUUCCUAACUUCACUUCCCAAUCAGGUCCUCCUGUCAGUGCUACAGCAUCUCUAGAAGCCAUGAUUAUGAUAUUAGCACAAGAAACAACUCCAGGACAAGCUUUCUCAAGAGCCUCUUUAACCCUGUCAACAACCUCAAAUGAUCUCAGAGAAUUUAUAUUAGAAAGGGUCAAUUUCUCUCCAAGCAUCGUUGGUGUAUCAUCAAGCAACAUAGAAGCAUCACACCCAUUAGUUCAUCUUCCUGGGGAACUAUUUCUGCAGUUUGCAUCUGCAUUGAGAAUUGUAUUUAACCGAGGAUUUUCUGCCUUAAGGUUCAAUUGGAAAAAAACAACAUUGGCGAGAAGUAAGAACAGCAUCAACCAACACAAGAAUUCAAUGUUGGAUCUCCUUGUUGAAUUCUGCUGGAAAGAUUACUAAAAAUGCUUCAGAUGUUUCAGACGCACAAUUAAGCACAACAUCAUCCUGUUUCAUAGAAACCUCAACAUUAAUUUCAAUUGACACAAACACCAGUGAUAUUGACUGUUCACCAUUUUGAGGUUCAGGUCGUAUGGUUCAUGGUUGUAUGGCCUAGCUCAAACCAUUGUUCCAACUUCAGUCAUCAUAUCAUGACCUUAUGGAGUUCAUGUUUUGAUUUGGCUGCUGCAGUACCAUGAUGGCAAGAUGCGUCAAGGUUUGUGAUAGUGGUCAAGGCAUUUGCAAGGGUACUUGUGAGCGAAGCAGCAAGGGUGUUGUUAUGUUAACACAAGUUGGCGGCUAACUUCAACUUUUACUUCACCAUUCCGCUUCUGUUUCGAUAGGAACAACUGUUGGUUUUGACGGCGUGCAUCAUCUAUAUGUGCUACAUGAGAUGCUUUGGAUUUUU